CGUCCCAAACUGCGCACAAUAGCGCGCCGGCUCCUCUAUCUAUUUUGUGUCCAGCCGGAGCCGCGCAGGAUGAUUCAUUGCCCCAAUUAGGGGCUCUCUCCAGCGCGCCUGGCUCGAGCCGUCUGAAGGGUCUCCUCCGGGACCCGCCGAGCCCAUCAGCGCUGGAGCUGGUCUUUAAGUAAAGGUCAAGCGGGACGCGGGAAGAGCCAGGCCUUGAAAAGCACCUACAGCCGCCGGUGCUCCGUGCCAGAGGAGCCCAGGAGCCGUGAGCACGGGACAUCUGGGUGCGGCUCAGAUUUGCAGCUAUCUGCAGGGUCGUCCCAGCCCACCCGCAGAAUGAAGCAAGCACUUCUCUGCUAUCCUCAGAAAGAGCUUGGAACCUGGCAGCCACUGGCAAAGAUGUAUCUUCCUUCGCGGAGGGAAGGAAUGUAACCGUUAACAAUAAAAAACAAAAAAUACCCUGGGAUUUGUGGAGGCCUUGGGCUUAUGAGCCAUUUCACAUCUGUUAGCUCAUGUGACAGUGAUACAUGGAGGCAUGACAGGGAGUAUCAUAUCCACUUUAGAGUUGGGGAAACUGAGGCUCCAACAUGCAGGGGCUUGCUCAAGGGGGCGGUUCCUGGAGCAAGAAAAAGCUGCCCGCUUGGGGGUGGGGGUGGAGGGGCUGGUGGAAUUUUGGUGCAUUUUGUACGCACUAAUUGUGCUAACUUGUUAAAUAGAAACGUUCCACAUAUACAGCACGUUUGGUGACCCUGCGGUAGCAUCCUGCUGCCUUUUAAACUAGGAGAUUCCUCGAGUGAAGGUGGGGGGCCUGAGAUGACCUAGGGAGAAAUAUUUUAUACACCUUAACGUGCCUCGUUUAAAAGUCACAGCUUGCAUUCCACCAUUAAGGGUCACUGCCUGGGGAACAAAUUUGCAAAUUGGCACAACAGAAUCGAGUGCCCUAAAACCUGGCCUUGCUCCCCUUAACCUGAAAAAAAAAUCCGGGAGAGAAAAACCCGGUCUCCCACUGCAGGAGUUACCAUCCCCCAGCCCAGGCCGCGCCAGCUUGAAAUCCGAGGAUUUUGCUGUGAACUUCAGGGCCUCGUAAAACCCCUUUGAUAAAUGAUCACCAGCGUUGACCUGCCACUGGGGACGACGGGACAAACCGGCCACAUAAAUCUUGAGGAUAUUCAAAGACUCCCUUGCUGCCGGCUUCUCAACAGACCCCUGAUUUGCAGCCCCGAAUCCACAGCAACUGUUCCUGUGGUCAGUUCCCGAGCUUCCAAGCCACGGAUGUUUCUGGAGAAGGUCGGGGCAUAGGUGGGUGGGGGGUGGAAGCAAAAGCAACGAAGUCAGGAACUGCCUUAAGGGUGCCUGGCGUGCAGUGGGCACUCAGUAAGAACCAGUUGGCAUCCCCCAGCUGGGAAUGGUAAUGGCUGUAUUUAUGUCUCCUGGAGGGUCACUAAAUGCCAGGUGCUGUGUUUGGUGCAGAUGGCAUUAUCUCAGUUCUCACAACGCCCUAAAAAGUAGGCACUAUUGUGACACGAUUUUACCAACGGGGACACUGAGGCUUGGAAGGGUGAACUCACGUCCCCAGGGUCACAGAGCUGGAUUCCUACCUAGGCGUCUGGCCCCAGCACCCCGCUCUAACUCGCCCUGCUGUGUGCUGCCAGGCCUGCCUCCCUGGUCCUCCCUAAUAAAGGUGGCCUUGUCCCUCGCUGGGGCCUGCCAGGGAGGCCAAUGGUCAGGGCUCGCUGCACGCCUCUGAGUCCUGCCCCCGGCUCCACCCAUGGCCGCCACCCUGAGUCCAGCUCUGCUGAGCUCUCAGGAGCUGGAUCCACCCCGUGGGCUGCGGCAGGUCCCCGUGGUGGCUAAGAGGAGGAAGUCAACAGCCACAGAUUCUUUCCAGCUGUUCCUCUGAGUCACUGAAGAAGUAUCACCUCCUUACAGAAAAGCGUGCCUCAUCACAUGCGUACGGUUUACUGAACUUUCACGAGCUGAACACAUCUGUGUCACCGGCACCCAGAAAGAAGGCGUGCGCAGCCCCCCAGAAGCCCCCCGUGGGCCCCGUUCCCGGCACCGCCCGGCCCCCCAGGGGAACGACUCGCAGCCAGGGCUCCAGGCAUCCUGACUUCUAGCCCCAGACUGUGUUAUUUCUUUAGCAGCUUUAUUGAGAUGUAAUUCACAUGCCACACAAUCCACCCAUUUAAAGUGUACGAUUCAA